rnacentral:lncRNA from 1 species
GAGAGUAACCCGGGGACAGUAACACACAUUGAAGUAGAUUCUCGUAACAGAUUUCACUACCUUUUUCUAGCUUUCGGUGCAAGCAUUCAGGGUUACCUGCACUACAUGAGGCCCGUUAUUUGUGUUGACGGCAGUCACUUGAAAGGUCCGUACAAAGGUACCCUGCUACUGGCAACUGCCCAAGACGCCAACAAACAGAUUUAUUCGUUAGCGUGGGGGAUUGUUGAUGCCGAAACGAUGGAUAUGGUUUUUAUCAAAUUUGAAAGAUCUUAUAGGUGAGUCGGACGAAUUGGUGUUUGUUUCGGACAGGAAAAAUAGUAUUGAAAAUGUCAUUGCCCACCUAUUUCCUCUGGCUCACCACGGGUGCUGUGUUUGGUAUACGUAAAAAAAUUAAAUCCAGCUAGUACAACGACGCAAGUUCAAUAUUUCUAUUCAAAAGAGUUGCAAGAACUUACCGGAUCGAAGAGUUUGAAAGACUUAUGGGACAGUUUCGUAGGGUUAGUGCAAGAGCGUACGGGUACUUGGAGCGAACAGGUUUCCUAUUUUGGUCACGGGCACUGUUUGUUGGCCAACGGUACAACAUUUUAACCAACAACAAUGCAGAAUCUUUGAACUCAAUGUUGAGACAUGCCCGUUCGUUACCAAUCACGUGCUUAGUGGAACACAUUCGGCAUUCUAUGCAGAAGUAGUUUUAUGAACGUCGAGCAAGUGCAACCGCAUGCAGUACCGUUUUGUCACCAACGAUGGAGAAUGAGUUACGGCUGACAUUCGAAAUAGGUACUAGGCUGCGAGCGCAUGGCUUGACAAAUAACUUAACACAAGUUGGAAUAUCCAACGACACGGACAUCGUAGAUUUCUCCGAAAAGACUUGCAUUUGUCGUGAGUUCCAACUGAAUCGUAUGUCGGCAUUCACACAACCCGUGCUGCUUGCUUGAGAGAUAAGUCAUUGUACGAUCUCUGCUUACCGUAUUACACAUCCGAGUACUGGAAGGGUGCCUAUGAAGAGGCUAUAUAUCCUGUUCUACGUGAAGUGGACUGGAAUGUUUCAUCCCAAAUUACAGGUACUCCUAUUAUGCCCCCUAGUGUGCCUCGUCCUCCAGGUAGACCACCCACACGAUGUAAGCGAUCUAGACAAGAGUGUACCACAUGGCUUAGGAAAUGCACUCGCUUCGGUGGACUUGGUCAUAACUGGACCACAUGUUCGAACCACACUGUACCACGUCCGAUGUAAGCAGCAUUUUGUACGUGAGUGGUUGAAGUUGUAAGUGAAGUGUUCUCCC